GCUCCCCUUCAUUCGUGCAUUUUAACUAGCCCAAACAUCGCUAACCCUAGAUCAUUCUCUCACCACCCAGCUGCCCUCAUUUACCUUUCCUUUGUCUUUUCUCUCUUCCCAUCAGAACCUUGUUAAUCAAAAACCUUUCACAAAUAUGUGCAAGGUCACAGAUUCCACCUCAAAUCGUUCAAUUUGUCCCUAUAUCCGUGAAUUCAACUGAUUCACUUCAGUUUUAAUUGUUUUAAAUACAGAGCAUGUAUGGCUAUUUAUCUCUAAUUUCAUCAUUUUUAUUCAAUGCCAAGAGGUCAAAUACAAUCACCUAUAGAUAUUAGGGUUUGAUCGAUGGUCCAAUUGCCUCAAUGGUUGACCUCCUCGUGUCUAGGUAAAAUCUUCACUGCUUUCCCUUAUUUUCUUCUGAUUUUCACCUUCUACUGCUAUCAUCAUCCAUUUAUCGUCACCAUCCACUAUCGAUCUAAACCUAUCAAAGCUCUAAGUGGCUUGAAUGCCACUAUAAAUAGAGCACUCGAUGUCUUCACCUAACAUACACAAAAAACAUGAAUAGUAUCAAUACACACUAGAAAAGAUUAAAAGUUUUAUUUUUUUGGCUAAAGUUUGAAUCCCACUAGUUCUCUCCUCUAAUAUCUCUUCUUUUUUUGUGAGUUCAAUCUCUGAGAGUUGGUUGUUGUUGGUUCGACUUACUCCUACUUUGUUUGCUGCCCUACGGAAGGUUAGUACAUACUGACCCCCUCUCUCUUUGAAUUAAUGUUUUGGUUUUAUGUUCUUAAUGACUUCAUAGUUGAUUCCAUGAUUGUUCAUAUUAAAUAUUAAAGUUGUUCUUGUCAUGUCUUCCCUUUACAUGUUAUUUUCAUUGUUGAAUUAGGGAUUAAGUUAAUUCGUAUUGAAGCUGCUAUCAAAUCCGUGCUAAUGAAUCCUAUCUUUCAUGAUUAAAAUAGUGAAAAUGACCCUAGGCUAAGUGAUAUUCUUAUGACUAAAUUUACUAAGCCUCUAUGAUUAAGCGAAGUUAACUUUUGUGCUAAUUUUGGGCAUAAUCUAUCUCUGUUAGUCGAACAAUAAGAUUAGGUCAGCUAGGAUAACUGAAACCAAGCUCUUGAACUUCUUUUUUGUGUUUCUGUACCUCUAGUUUACUUGACCGUCCUACUUGUGGCAUUAUGUUGAUCUUAUAAAACUCCCUGUAUUUCAUGUCUUGCAUUCAACAUGUCUACCUUAACAGUCUUAGUUGAUAAAUGUGAUAACCUGCCCAUCUUGUGUAUUUAAUAAUCCAUGUACACCUGUUACUCUUAGAUCCUAUUAACGCUUCGUGAUUAAUUAAGUCUUGUGAUGAAAAUAUUAUAGGUGAUUUGUUAGUCCAAUAAUUGGUCUUUUGAAUGGCGUCAUAAAAAUCAAAUAGAAUAAAAUAAAAUCUUUUUAAAUCUUCUCUUGAAGACAAUGUUAACACUUGCCCACAUUAAGACAUCUUGAUACCUGUGGUAUUCUGUUUUCUGAUUUAGUUUCUACCCUCAUGCUAACAUGCUUGACUCUGGUUAACAGCAUGUUCAUAUCACAAUGUGAUAGACUGAUUUCUGAAUGCCUCUUGUGAUGACUGAAAACUAAGAAAAACAUGUAAUGAACCCUGGUAAAGUGUGUUAGGAAGCAUGUUCUCUACUUGUUGAGAUCGAUCCAUGUAGUGAUCUUAGAACUUACCCUCUCAUGACUGUUUGAGUUUUGUGAGACUUCUGAUGUUAUGUUGAUAACCUUUUGAACCUGAGUUCACAUCUGUCAUUGUUAAUUUGGCUAUGUUCACAGACUAUCACAUGACUUUAGUUUGGGGGAUUGUAUGUUUGCACCUAUGUGUCAACUCUCCACCUGUCAUUAUUCCGACCUUGCUAUGAUGAUGUACUAGUUUGAAUUUGUGAAAUAUUUCCCAUUAAGACACUUGUUCCUAAUGCAUAUGAUGACAUGUUCUAUAACUCUAGUUGUAAUGCUUAACAGUGACUUUACACUAUCCUGAUUCUUACAUGUUUGUCAUGUUAACAUGUAUACAAAUCAUGUAUUGAAUUUUGUUGAUAUUCUAUGCUAGUGACAUGUUUGCCUUGUCAAGUUAAAGUGAAUGUCAUUCAACUACUAAGCAUGAUCUUGACUACGGUGAAGCCUUUUAAAAGUGCAUGUGCACUGAUCUUAUAGUCUGAACCUACAUAAGGGAACUCUAAGCAUCAAACCUACAGUGAAGCCAAUAGAACAUGUACCUGAGCUCCUCUCAGUAUAGUACUUGCUUGUUAAAAUUAUUAAGCCUAAAGACAUGAUUAAUGAAGCAUGCCUAUUACUUGCACUUUGUGAUCUUGUGUGAUUAUGUCCCAAUAGUGACUCAUGUAUACUGUAGUGUCAUGUUCUUACUUCUUAUCCUCUAUGCUUUAUGGGGUUCUCUUAAGUCAAUGUUGUGCUUUGGUUUGUUCACUAUACCCUGAUGGUGAACCACAACAUUUUAGUUGUUCAAAGUUGUUGGGUUUCUGUAUGUUUGAACCCUUAGAGGGUUAAUCAUGACUUCUACAUCAACUAUUGAUGUCUUGACAAUAUGAAAUUACUCUGUUACUCCUUUUAUUUGUGUUUAAACCUUUGAGGAAGAUUAGUAGUGGGUGGCUAAGAGUAUAUAGAUGUGAAAACUCGUUGUGGUUAUGAUAACUCUACUUGACACAAGUACUGCUCGGGGUACAUGAGACCCUCAUGAACUCUGAAGUGCCAAGGGUUCACAAAGAGGGAUCAUAUCCAUAAAUGAUAAUUUCUGCCAAUCCUUUAUUAACUCUUUUUAAUCCUCACAGGAUUAACAUAAAAUAAAAUAUGUCUCAUUACAUUCUUUAGUUCUUUAUCAUUAUAAUUUUUAUCAUAUUUAGCUUUUAUAAUUUAUAUACAUUAAUUAUCCCAUGUUUUUUAUCUACAUGAAUUCAAUUUGGUCAUGUUGAGACCAUUUGGAGUUCAUGUCCCCUUUCCAUAUUUAGGUCAUCACAUUCCUGUCAAAUUCGCCGCUCGUGCACAUUAUAUUGGACCUGAUUAUUUGUUGGCCCAUAUCGAGAGUCCAGUUCUCCUUCCUCUGCUCACUUUAGAUCUUUUAAUGUUUAAUCAUUGAUUAAUUUCCAAAUUUAUCUUUUCAAUAAAUGAAAGGCCUUAUCUUGUUGUCACUUACUCUUUUUAAUAAGUUCAGACUUUUGAAAGUUGCAAAAAUGAAAGCAGACUCUCUUUGGGAAAUCAAAUCGUGAAAAUAAUUUAAGAAAGCUGUUUUCAAGAAGUAAAAGCCAAACUCAACCACAUUUACAAAAUGAUGAUUUUCAACGAGUUUUAAAUAUGAGUUUCCAUUGAAAAUUGGGUUACAAAUAAGGCACGCUCAUUCCAACUUGAGAUAUAUUUUCUUAUUCUACUAAGUCAUAAAUGGAUGACACCCUUUUAAAAUCUUAUACUCAAAGAAAGAAUUUUUACAAGGUCCUUAUCGAAUACUUUUUAUAUACACAACCUUCUUAUAGUUGUAAUUUUCAGAAGAAUAUAUAAUACUUUUCACACGUUGAAUACCAGCUAAGCAGAAUGUAGACAUUUCUUUCUCCAAACCUAGCCUAAGCCUAAGGAGAUACCUCAGAUAGAUUUUGUGGGGUGCCAAAAAACAUCCCCUUCGAAUAUAACCUUACAUCCCCUUAGCAUACCAUUAGGAUAAUAACCUUAAAACCCCAUAGGUACCAAAAUAUACCUAAAACUAUUAGGUGCGACUCACUUUUUAUCAACUUUAGAAAAACCAUCAGUUGUAUUUUGCUCUGACUAGUGCAAAAUAGUAUGCAACAACAUGGAGACUCUUCUAGGGAUGUUUUACACUUUUGUUCUCACCUUAGCAGAUUUAGGCUAGACGUUAACUUUGGGAAUGUUUUGUUAUAUUAUGCUUCAACUAUGCUUAACCUGCAAAUAUGUGAUUACUCGCUUUAUUCUAUUUGUUUACACUUUCAACAUGCUAAAACAUACUUAUUUGUUUACUUAUAUUACUGUUUUACUACAAUUAUCUUGUAAGACCCCGAAAAAUUUUGAAGUACUUGAGCGCUAGUAAGAAAGUUGAUGUGCGCUAAUUAUAUUAUUUUGUGUGCAUACAAGGUCUAUUAUAAGAAUUAUAUCAAUUGAUCAUGAUAAUAUAUGUAUGAGGUGCAUUAAGAAUGGUUUAUGGUCUAAGAAAAUCCCCAAGGCUAAGUCAAGUUAAAACUUUUGUGAUGGGAUAAAGUUUCAAGUGAGUUCGUAUAAGACCUAACUUCAAAGGUGUAUACCUCUCUUGAUAUAAAGAGUUAUAUUGUAUAUUACCUAUCUAAAGAAAGGUCUAUGUGUCUAGUUUCCAACGCUUCAAACCGUUCAUCAUUUGGGCAAUCCUACCAGUAGUUAUGACCAAAUUACUAAAGGCUAGAUCUGCAAUCAAUUCCGUGACUGCAUAACGGUUUCGCGGACUGCAUAAGCAUCGCAAAGUGGAGCAGAGACGGACAAACUAGUAUGCUGCAAUUAUGCUGUCGCAUAAUUGAUUAUGCUGCAAGUCUGCUGCCCACAAAACGAUUAUGCCAUAGCAUAAUUGCACCAUAUAACUGACUUCGGGUGUCAUUUUUUGGAAAUUUUUAUAUCCGAUCCAAUUUUGAUAUAAGGCCUUAGGGGGUCAUUUUAAAAGGUAAAAUGUGAUUUUGUAGAGAGAGGAGAGAGCUAUCUUAUAGAGAGAAAGAGAAGACCUAGCUACUUUGUUCAUCAAUUCUUGCUCAAGGCUUGAAGAUUUCACAAGAUCUUCAUCUAAUAGGUAAGAUUCUACUCCCUAGCCCUAAAUUUCGGUAUUUUGAUUAAAAGUAGGUCAUGAGAAGUAUGAUUCUUGGGUGUGAGAGUAUUAUGCAUACAUAUAUGUACCAAUAAGGUUUGUGGGGAGAUUGUUGAGCUUAAAUAAGUAAAGAUUGAGUAGUGGAAUGAAGGAUAUCUUGUAGAAGAACCUGUAGUUAAAUUUGCACACCUAGUAUUUGAUAAAAUGCUCAAAUGGGCUAAGAUCAUGAAUAUCUUCCUAAUAAUGGUUCAGUUUUGUUAUGUCUCAAAAUAGAUUGGGAUUGCUCGAAUUUUCGUAACGUUGUAAUUUUAGGAAAGCUCAAAGCAAGGUAUGUUGGCUAAAUUACUCUCUUAGAAUUGAAUUCAAUGAUGUUCUCAUAAGUUUCAAGUAUGGUUGUCUCAAGUUCCUUAUUCUAUAUUCUGAGUUAUUCCCAAUAAAUUCGAUUGUCCCGAAUAAGUAAAGUGUCGAUAAUUAAGUACUCAAAACGUGUUCCAAAUGUUCCUAACACAUUAUGUUAUCCUUUGGGAAUGUGUUCAAGAAUGAUAUGUGUAUUAAAAUGCUAUAUCUUUGAGUUGUGUUUCAAAUGAAGGUUAUGAUUCCAAAUUGUGUGAGAAAACUCAAUAUGCUUAAAACUCUUAAUUGCUCAUAUGUGUACCUAAAGCCUUGAUUGAAAAUGUCUUAUUGUUGAUAACCUCUAAAGAUGUGAAAGAAGUAUGAAAUGCGAUGAUUGAUAUAAGUGAAAGUUAUACUUGUGGCCAAUGAUGCCAAUGGAAUUAAAAGAUGUGAAAGAAGUAUGAAAUGCGAUGAUUGAUAUAAGUGAAAGUUAUACUUAUGGCCAAUGGAGCCAAUGAAAUGAAAUGAUAUGAGAAAGGUUAUGAAAUAAGCCUUGAUUCAACUAUUCCAAAUUGACUACGAAAAUAGAAUUGCCUAAAAGCUUAUGAACUCAAGUCAUGCACAUAUGUGGUUGUUCUAACAAAUGCUAUGCUUUGUGAGUAUUUUUAAUGUGUUUUGCAUUCUUACAUAUUCGUGAGUAAAAAUUUUGUAUUGCCCUUUUUGGGGAAAAGUAUGUCAAGAAUAAAUUGUGUGUUAUUUGUUGAUGAUUUUAACUUGCGCAUCAAUUGCCAAUCAUUUUACUCCAUUUCUCGGAAAGAAAUCUAUUGUGCUUAAAUUGUUCAUUUCUAAUGAACUUAAAGUUGUGAUUUCCGGAAUAUUAUAUGUAUGUUUAUAUUUAUGACGAUUAUACAUGAGAGGGAAGAAAUGAAAGUAUGGAAUAUCAAAUAAGGCCAUCGCGCCUUGAAUAAAGAAUCUUGUGAAUGGCCAAAAGAGUCAAGGAAAUAUUGUUGUUGUUAUUGGUUGAAAAUUUCUAGUGGAGAUUUAUACAAUGUGAAAGAUGAUGAGGUAAAUACAUUUGCACCUAUGUUAUUUUUGUGAAUUAUUCCCCUUAUUUGGGAUGAGAUUGAUGUGAUAAAAUUAUUCCUCUUAAUUGGGAUGAGAUUGAUUAAUAUAAAAGGGUUGAUGUAUCGAAGAAGACGGCCUAGCCGAUCGGGUCGUGAUCGAACACCAUGUCGCACACAUGGUGGUGAUUAAGCUAGAAAUUGUAAUUGAAUUUGAGAUUUUGGUUGAUGUCUUCAAAUAAGACAGCCUAGCCGAUCGGGUCAUGAUCGGACUUCGUGCUAAAAUUACGGUGGCAUUGGUAUUGAUAGUGAUUGAGGUUGAUUCUCUAAUGAGAUAGCCUAGCCGAUCGGGUCGUGAUCGGACUCCGUGCCAAAAGUACGGUGGCAUUGGUAUUGAUAGUAAUUGUGGUUGAUUCUCUAUUGAGAUAGUCUAGUCGAUCGGGUAGUGAUCGGACUCCGUGCUAAAAGUACGGUGGCAUUGGUAUUAUGAACAUUGGUAUUGUGAACCUUGGUAUUGUGAACAUCGGUAUUGUGAACAUUGAUAUUGUGAACAUCGGUAUUGUGAAUACUGGUAUUGUGAAUAUAUGUAUUGUGAACAUUGGUAUUGUGAACAGUGGUAUAUCUGUGCUAAAGACCUCCCAACCAAAAAUAAUAUUAUCAUCAUNNNNNNNNNNNNNNNNNNNNNNNNNGAUUGUGACUUGUUGUUUCUAUGGAUUUUCCCUUCUUACAUUGGUAUUCUAUUUUGAAAGAGGACAGUUAGCUUUACAUACUAGUACUAUUCCAUAUGUACUAAUGUCCCUUUUUCCGGGGGCACUGCAUCUUUAAUGGAUGCAGGUGAUUCAUCAGCAGUGCAACUUGGGUCCUCGUUAGUAGUUACUCCCUAUUCAGCAGGUUUUGGUGCGCCCUAUUCUAUUCCGGGCCCGAUGUCACUUGAUGUAACACUUUGUAUCUUGAGGUAUAGCCGGGGCAUUGUUGCCUGCACUUCCAUACUAUUCUUCUGUCAUAUUUAGAGGCUACGUAGACAGGUUAUGGGUGAUGUAUGAUGUUGGAAAUUGAAUUAGAAAUGUUGCUAUUUGUAAAACAUAUUUUCCAUUAUACCUAUAAACUUGUAAUACUUUGGAAAUUAUGAACGAAGUUGCUAAUGGAAUGAAUGGGAGUUGUUAAUAAAAUAUUUUUAGUGUUUGAU
rnacentral:lncRNA from 1 species